rnacentral:rRNA from 1 species
GACGAACGCUGGCGGCGUGCUUAACACAUGCAAGUCGAACGAAGUGGCGAACGGGUGAGUAAUACGUGGGUACACUGCCCUCCUUUUUGGGAUAAGCCUUGGAAACGGGGUCUAAUACCGAAUAAAGGGGGAUGGGCUCGCGGCCUAUCAGCUUGUUGGUGGGGUGAUGGCCUACCAAGGCGGGGACGGGUAGCCGGCCUGAGAGGGUGACCGGCCACAUUGGGACUGCGCUACGGCCCAGGGUCCGACGGGGGGGAGCAGUUGGGGAUAUGGCACAAUGGCUGAAAGCCUGAUGCAGCGACGCCGCGUGGGGGAUGAAGGCUUUCGGGUUGUAAACCUCGUGCGCUAUCGAAAGGGUAUGUGGAGAAGAAGCGCCGGCUAACUACGUGCCAGCAGCCGCGGUAAUUC